GACGCUGCAGGACGCCCCCCAAACUGGGCCCCGGGGCGGAAGAAAAAGGAUUUCUCCUGCAGUGACCGACUGUUUGCUCUCAAUGCGGGGCUGCGGUUCCUGACUCCUGAGGAAAAGUUCCUGGGCUGGGCCCCGGCGCCCUUUGACCUCCCAGCCUUCGACCCCCGCUCCCUGGACA